GAGAUAGCUUGGUGACGGAGAGUUCGACCCCGUGUUCAGGUUCAAUAACCAACCUAAGAGCAGGGGAGUGGAUGUAGUUGGGAGAAAGGGUGAAGGAGAAGUUGUAGAGAAGCUGGGCAAUGAGAAUCUUGAGCUCCACCAUGGCCAGGUUCUGCCCGAGGCACACGCGAGGUCCUACUCCGAAGGGCAUGUACAAGUGCGGCAGCUUACAGGCUCCCGUGAUCCCAUUGGCGAAUCUCCCCGGGUUGAAAGAGUAGGAGUCUGGCCCCCAUAUCUCAGGGUCCGUGUGCAGUGUUAACACCAUCGUCCACACGUUCACUCCCUCCGGCACUUGCAGGUCCCCGAAUUUCAUAUCCGUCAAGGCCUCCCUCGACACCACUGGCACGGGGGAGUAUAGCCGCAGCGACUCGUUUAUCACCAUUGUGAGCUGCACCCAGGACAGAAAGGUUAACACAUGCCGAUGAUCAGGAAAUCAAAACGUUAUAUUAUGUGCACUCUGUCUUAAAGGUAUGGGGAAGGCGCACCAGUUUCAUCUUACGGAUCACAUCGGCAUCAGGAAGACGGUCCCCACAAACCUCAAGAACCUCGGCACGCACACGAUUUUGCCACUCUUGACUGGAAGCCAACAGCAUGAGGCACCAUGUCGCAGAGACGGCAGUGGUCUCGUACCCAGCCAAGUAAAUGUUUUUGCAGUUGUCGACAAUGAAGCGGUCCAUGGCCUCCUGGCUCAAGUCGCUGUUUUUGGCACCCUCGAGAAGCAUCUGCAGAAGGUCCUUCUCAUAUGCAGCUUCCAUCCUCUCCUUCACCACCUGCAGUAUCAAACUGCGGACCUCCUUCUCCAGUGCCCAGGCUUCUCUGUUAGUCUUGGUGGGGAGGUAUCUGCGUCAUUGCAUGAACGGAAUUGAUUAAAGCAGCUAAGCGACUCUGGAUUUUUUUGUUUCCCCUUUCUUUUCAAGGGGGCAGUAUGGAAGGGAAGGCUUAAUUGGAGGUUUUUCGGGAGAAAGAGAUAUUUAACUUCGCACCUCAUGCCAGGAAUCCCAAUGGAAAGACCUUUCUUGGACAUGGCCUCUUGGAGAGCCCUCAACUUGUGGAAGAUCUCCUCUCCUUUGGCAAAAUUGCUGCCAAAGCAGGCCCUGGAGAUGACAUCUCCGGAGAAACUUCUCAUGUGCUGGUCGAUGUUAAUGCUGGCUACUCCACCGGCUGCGUCCACUUUGUUCUUCCAGGACUUCAACAGUGUCUCUGUGGACUCGUUAAUGAGGUUUAUCAUUCCCUGCGAGCGGGCAAACUCAGAAAUGUUAAUUUAAGAAAAAAUUGGUUGUGGUGAUGAUAUUGAAAGACAUCAAUUAAAAUAACAUACCUUGACAUUCUCCAUAUAGAGCUCGGGAGCGAGGAUCUUGCGCUGAUGGGCCCAGUGGGAGCCGUUGGAAGUUAAGAUGCCUUGACCCAUCAAGGGACCCAUCUCCUUGAGCUGGUAUGAGGGCUUCCCCAAGUCCAAAGAUGUGCAGGUGGUGAUCUCCCUCACCACGUCUGGUUGGUUCACAUAGAUUAUCUGUGUGUUCCCCAGCGAGAACACAAAUAUAUCUCCUGUAACAAUCACGAGACAUCAGCGCAUGAGAUCAGCCUGAUCUGAUUGUCCAUAUCUGGACCACAAACGACCAAUCCAAGUCAUUUAAGAGUGGGGGAAGGAGAAAUGAUCUGAUUCAGGAGUGGUGAAUUAUUCAUUUAUUUUACUGAGUGAGAACGUGCCAAAUCAAAUUUAGUGUGAAUGUGAGAAGUGACGCUGGGGCGCUGGAGGCGUUUUUGUUGGGUCCAAUCCAGAUCCAGCACCGGAGGAGCCACCCAGCGCAUGCAUCAUGCAUCGGUCAUUAACAAAGACCUAACAAUAACCCCAUAAAAGAAAGAGCAGCCAUUGGUAGGGGUUGCAAGUUUGAAAAAAUGGAAACGGGCAGUGAAGGAAUCUUCAACAUCUACCACCGCAUGCCGUGCGGUGCGCCAAACGACAUGACAGGCUUCAAACAACAUCAACCUUGAAGUACAGAAAACGUAUAUCACGGGAUGCACGUUAUCUGUCUAUAUCUGACUGCGAAAUCUAAGUAGCACCAACCUCUGAGUUUCAUAAACUCUCUAAUAAUUGUACGAAAAUCUUGCUUUAGUUUAUGUAGUUUGGAACAUGGAAAAUCCAAACACGUGAAUAUUUUUAGAUUAAUCGUAGAAUAGAGAUGAAGAUCCCAGUUAGGGCGGCGGGGAGGUGACCUACCGUAUUGUUUUCUCCACUUGUCAAAGAAGGGAAAGAGGACAGCUGCACAAUCAUGGCGGGCAGGGGGCUGGCCAGGCGGAGUCUUGGGAACGGAGGAGGAGGAGGAGGAGGAGGAGGAGGAGGAGGAUCUCGCCUUCUUGAUCUCCAUGAUGUUGCCGAGCAAGAAGGCGGGGGGUGGUCCAUUGAUGCCUUGUUUCCUCAGCAAGGACCUCAACUUUUCUGGCUUCACCACCAGCGCGUUGUACAGCCUCAGAAACACUCCUAUUACGCCCACCACGGCUAUGGAUAUCAGCACCUUUGCGUUCAACAACUGCAGAUAUUCCAUUGCUGAUGAUUCUCCCAAGUCCUAAUGUGAACGUAACUCCGGAGUACUGGAGACUUGGAGAUGACAGCACUGUUUGGGAGGUGGCCGAUGGGUUUUGGUGGGAUAUAUGGGGGGUUUGUGAUGUUGUUGCCAGAUGCUACCGAGGCACACUUAUAUAUACCUACAGAAGGGUGACCAGGACAAGGUCCCCGUGAAAAAUGCUGGAAGCGCGAUAAUUCUGCUUUAUUGAAAGAAAACGAUGUUUUAAGAGUGUCGCCCGCCAAGUUGGUCCCGUCAAAGUGGAAUAUCGAAUGUGGAAAUCACCCUCCCAAUCUAGAAAUCUGCGAACCCAUUUCACGACGACCGGCAUGAUUUGUCAAGGAGGGUGAACAACCGAGCACUACUUUGCUCCAUGGACUUUAAAGCUGAUUUCAUUGACGGAGUGAGCUCUCUCUCCACCUCUCAAGUCCCCACCAACACAAUGGGACGGGAAUAAGUGUACUGAAAAAUCUUUAAACUUAUGAUGAAAGUAUAAUUGAAUUUUAAAAUUUGUAAAAUGUAUAAUUAAAUCAUAAAACUUGUCAAAUUAGUGAAUCAAGUCAUUAAAUUCUGUUCAACCUGACUAAUGGAAGCUCUUGUUAGUUUUAAUGCAUGUCAUUAACAUCUUAUUCCCCUGUGUUCUAAAUACUAGUAAGUGAGGAUUGCAAUGGCCAGGAUGCUCUUGUUUCUGGAAUAUCUGCAUUUGGCAUGCCUGAUUUCAUUAAUGAAGUUCCCUUAGAGGCAUACCCUUGAGGUUUAUCUUUCAAGGAUUUUUCACUUGCUGAUUUUUCAAUCUGUUUAAUAGAUUAUAAAUAUCUUAGCAUAUUUCUUGUAAAAUCAAAACUAGUAGUAUCAUGUGCAUCUUGCACACAUGUUUAAAACUUGUAGUAUGAAGAAUUCUUCUUCUAGUUCUUGAGAUUUAUGUAACCUACGAUUAUUUUUUCCUGCAAUUGACGCCUGUUGAGAUUGCUUAUCCUUGAUUAAAUUGUUUCUUUGCUUGAGAUAAUGUGAAUGUGGUCACUUGGAGUAGUCACUUGUCCAUUGUUGAUGGCACUAAAAUUUAAGUAGUUGUGUGACAUGAGAUUGAUCUUUUAAUCUCAUUUUCUUGCAAUGGAUAUGUCUUGACAUAUCUCAGGAAGUGGAGCAGCAUAUUUUGCAAAUUCCAUCAAUGUGCCUCUAUUGCUAAGGAAGUCAGUGGUUGGUUUCAAUAGUUGAUUAUGUUAUUGCUGAUGUUGUUGCAUUAGCCUUCUUAAUCACUUGGAUGUGGGCAUUACAAGUGAUUGUAAUCUUCAUUCUACCAAUUAUAGUGAAACAACCUUACAGAUCUCUUCAUGUGGAGUAGGCGCAUUGUCAAAUCACGUAAAUUCACAAUGUUUAUGUGUUAUUUUUGCAAUUUAUUUCUUGUUUGAAUUGUUUCGUUUAUUCACCUUCCACAUUAAUUGUGACAUGUACAAUGGAGAAAGAACAAACUUUGCCAUAAACUGAUACAAAAGUGAAUAAGGGAAGGGGAAGUUGCUUUCGGAUACAACAAGAAACCGUAUAGUGGGCUUACGGGUGAGAAAAAAACCAUCUCUAGGAGAUAUCAAUCUCGAGAUAGCUUGGUGACGGAGAGUUCGACGCCGUGUUCAGGUUCAAUAACCAACCUAAGAGCAGGGGAGUGGAUGUAGUUGGGAGAAAGGGUGAAGGAGAAGUUGGAGAGAAGCUGGGCAAUGAGAAUCUUGAGCUCCACCAUGGCCAGGUUCUGCCCGAGGCACACGCGAGGUCCUACUCCGAAGGGCAUGUACAAGUGCGGCAGCUUACAGGCUCCCGUGAUCCCAUUGGCGAAUCUCCCCGGGUUGAAAGAGUAGGAGUCUGGCCCCCAUAUCUCAGGGUCCGUGUGCAGUGUGAACACCAUCGUCCACACGUUCACU
rnacentral:lncRNA from 1 species